GAAGCAGGCAGGAUGGCCGCUUCAGGGAUUAUAUAACCCGUCUAAUCCUUGAAGAGGAAAGUCCGAGCUCCACAGGAUACAGUGCUCUGUAACACAGAGUGGGAGUGAUCCCAAGGAAAGUGCCACAGAAAAGAUACCGCCUUGUGAUACACUAUUCACAAGGUAAGGGUGAAAAGGUGGGGCCUGAUAACGGCUUAAUGUAAGAGCCCACCGCUCUCUGAGUGAUUGGAGAGGCAUGGUAAACCCCACUGGGAGAAAGGCUAAAUAGAGAGGUAUAAAGUGAUCCGCUUUUAAACCUCCGGGUAAGCCGCUUGAUUCCGAUGGCAACAUCGGAACUAGAUUAAUGGUCAUCAAAUACAGAACUCGGCUUAUGGUCUGCUUCGAUU
rnacentral:RNase_P_RNA from 3 species